AACCCUCGGGGGGCGGGGCCAAAGGCGAACACGCCCCCUCUUGGGGAGAACACGCCCCUUCCCGCGCCCAACCACGCCCCGCGGGGCUCCAAACCAUGCCUUAAGCUCCGCCCUCUUGCCGUAAGCCCCGCCCCGCACGGGUCCAUGGCCCGCGAAGGGACGCGGGGGAUCCGGGAUGAUGCUGCGGGGACCGGGCGGUGCAGCGGGGGUGCUGGAGGGGAUGGGGGGACCAGGGAAGGGCUGUAGUGGCCCAGGGAGCCCCUUGGGGGUGGUAAUGGGAGAAACCAGAGGGGUUUCCCCGCACAGAACCAGCCUCAGACCCCUGGGGCAUCACCCUCCUUUGUAAGGGUCUUGGGUGGGCGGGGAGGGCACAGGGACCGUGGGGACAGAGGAAGAGGGAGGUUUGCAGGGGGUCGGGGUCGUGACGGCCAAGGGGUGGGUGCAGGGACCACGGCAAGGGGAUGGAGCGGCACAGGGGAUGGUGACAGCAUGGGGACUGGGUGGCUCAGGGCAGGCAGAGGCUACGUCCCCCGGCCCUGGCGGGGGCUGAGCUGUGUCCUGCCCGCUGGCAGCCAUCCGGAUCAAGAAGCCCAUCAAGACCAAGUUCCGCCUGUGCGUCCUCAACUGGAUGGUGCUGAGGCCCAACCGGAUCAGUGGGUGCUGGAGCCACCCGCCCACGGGGGUCACGGCGAGGCAAGUUCGCUCCCAGAACUGAGCUGCUCCACUUGGGAACCGCCAGGGAAGGGCAGGACUGAGCCCACCAAACCACAACCCGCUAUCGGGAACCAUCCUGCUCCCCAAAUCCUGCUCCCCAGGUAACAACCACCCCCCCCAGCCAAAACCAGCCCAGGUCACAGUCCCAUCGCAUUUCCUAAGAGGGGUGAAGAUGGUUUUUGCUUUUAAAAAGCCCGUUAUUCUCACCUCACCCGCUCCCUGGAUUUCCUGAGUUUCCUGGGGGCUGCAGACAAAGCUGGAGAUCGAGGAGGGGCCGGAGCCCAGAUGGUGGCUCCCCCUCCCCAGCAUCCGUCUGAGCCCGUGGGACCCCAGGGCCCGGCGGAUUUUCCCCCUUGAUCCGCUCACAACAUGCUCGUUCACAGGAGGCUCUAAUUAGGGAGAAUUAGCCGGGGCAGCUUGCACAGCGCCGGCUGCCCCGAGCAAACAGGAUUUCACAGGGACGCCGGGCAGUUUGGAAUAAGAUCGAUCAUUGGAAAAGCCGUGGGGACCCAGGUGGAGCUGCACAAUGUCCCCCCCACACUCCAAACCACCAAAUUUCAGCUGCUUGUCCCUCCGUGGGUUGGAAAUCCUGCUCGGUCGCAUCCUUUGCUCCUGAGCGCACGAUGGAAGCUGAACCUCCACCAAUAAGGGGGAUAUUCAACAUUAAGAUUUGCUGAGCAGGAUUCCUGGGGGGAUUAUUUGAGCUGCGGGUGAACGAGCCCCCCCAGACGCUUCUCUAAGCUCUGAGGGUCCUCAGCACUCGGCUCCCAUCCCCCCAGCAGACGGCGAGAGCCUCCAACACCUCACGUGAAUAAAACCAACUUUUAAUAAUGUA